rnacentral:rRNA from 1 species
UAAGGUGGUUAUAGCGAUGGGGGGGCUCACCUCUUACCAUUCCGAACAGAGAAGUUAAGCCCAUUUGCGCAGAUGGUACUGCUUUAUUGUGGGAGAGUAUGUCGCCGCCUUC